rnacentral:rRNA from 1 species
GACGAACGCUGGCGGCGUGCUUAACACAUGCAAGUCGAACGGAAAGGCCCUGCUUUUGUGGGGUGCUCGAGUGGCGAACGGGUGAGUAACACGUGAGUAACCUGCCCUUGACUUUGGGAUAACUUCCGGAAACUGGGGCUAAUACCGGAUCGGAGCUCCUGCUGCAUGGUGGGGGAUGGAAAGUUUCGGCGGUUGGGGAUGGACUCGCGGCUUAUCAGCUUGUUGGUGGGGUAGUGGCUCACCAAGGCUUUGACGGGUAGCCGGCCUGAGAGGGUGACCGGCCACAGUGGGACUGAGAGACGGCCCAGACUCCUACGGGAGGCAGCAGUGGGGAAUAUUGCACAAUGGGCGGAAGCCUGAUGCAGCGACGCCGCGUGCGGGAUGACGGCCUUCGGGUUGUAAACCGCUUUCGCCUGUGACGAAGCGUGAGUGACGGUAAUGGGUAAAGAAGCACCGGCUAACUACGUG